rnacentral:misc_RNA from 1 species
AACGCACAUUGCACCCGGUGGUAUUCUGCCGGGUAUGCCUGUUCGAGCGUCAUUUCUGCCCUCAGGUCUCUCUUCUCUCCCUUUCAAAGGGGGGGGGGGAGGAGAUUCCUGGUGUUGGGGAUCUACAGGCGGUUCAACUGCCUGUAGCCCUCUAAAUGCAUCGGCGUGCGUGCUGUACGUUUUCCCUCUGCGUAGUGGAUUUUUCUUAUCUCGCAUCGGGACGCAGCGCUGCCCAGCCGCUAAAUCAAACUUGCUUAAACGAAGUUUGACCUCGAAUCAGGUAGGGUUACCCGCUGAACUUAA